CCCUUCCCCUGCUCUCCCUAGCCUCGCCGCCGCCAGAGCAGCCGCCGACAAAGCCGGGCGGAGGCAAGGAAGGCGGCGGCGGGGCUUCCCAUCUCCCUCGCUCGUGGUCAAGGCGGCUGGGGCGUCGACGAGACCGGACGACGGGAGUGAGGCGACGACGACGAGAGUGAGGCGACGGCGACGACGUCGAGUUCUGGCGCUGCCGAGCACGGAUCCGGCCCUCCCGUGGCCGGAUCUGGUCCUCCCACUGGCGGGAGUCAUGGGGGACGGCGGGAUCCGCCGUCCUCCCGGCCGAAAGCGACGACGCCGCGGCCUGCCAAGGAGAGGUGGGGGCUGGUGCGCCCGAGCCGGUGUGGCGACGGCAACCAUGGCGGGAGGUCGGUGACGGCGUCCGAUGCCAUCGUUGGGACGGUCGGCGAUGGCGGGAGGCCGUGCGACGCGGCGAGCGGCGCGGGCUUGGCGGCGACGGCAGCGCAAAUCCCAGAUCCACGCCAACUCGGUGCGGCUUUGGCGGCGGCAGUAGCUGGCGACGGCAAUGGUUGACAAUGGCGACUGGCGACGGCGGCAGUGGCUGGCGAUGGUGACUGCCGAUGGCGACGGCGGUAGCAGCUGCGGUGCCUGCUGGCGUCGGGGCGGCUCCUAGCUGCUUGCUGGUGGAGGGCAACGGCGCAGCGGCGGUUUGCGGAGGCGGUGGCAGCGGUGACGGCUGCCGUGAAUGUGGAGGCGGUGGCGACGUCGACAGCGGGGAAGGAGUCGGGUGCGAGGCGAGGAUGGCGACGACGAGGUGGCUGGGUGUUUCAGCAGCAGCGGCUGCGGUGGUGGUGACCGUUUUUGCGGUCACCGGAGGCAUGGCGGCCUCGGACGGCUAGCUGAGGGCGUGGGAGACGGCUGCAUCUGGCCGGCGCGACAUUGUUUGGUGGAGGGGUCGGAGACCGGCUUGGCGCAGAGAAGCGCAGCUGAUGGCAGCGGAGGCCGGCUCGGCGCGAGAGGUGCGGGCGGCGGAGAUGGAGGCCGGCGUGGCGCGAGAGGCGCAGCCGAUGGAGGGAGGCCGGAUUGGCGCGAGAGGCGUGUCCGGUAGAGGAGGCCGGGUUGGCGUAGAGAGGCGUGGCCGGCGGUGGAGGAGGCGACCUAGGUGUGAGGAGGAGCUGCCGGUGGGUGUGGCGCGGUCUUCGGCGCACGAAGGCUGGCCGGCGGGGGACGCCGGUGCAGGGGUCCCACAUGUCGACAAAGCUUGUGUGGUGGUGGAGCAUCGGUGCGUCAGCCGUGGAUUCGCAGGUGGUGAGCGGCGGGUGAAAACCCAGUCCGGCCUUGGUUGGACCGACAACGAUGCCUGAGGGCGUUGUUUUGCUGUCUCACCCCUCAAGGUGGUUGCCGGGCGAAAGCCCAGUCUUGGCUCCUUUGAGUCCUGACGGACGGCGGCGGCAGUUUUCCGUCGCUUAUCUUCUUGAAGACGUCGUUUUUGGCAUCCCCUAGGGGGCGAUCUCGUCUAUGUCCCUUUAUUGGUCUUGUGGCGGUCGGUCACGCUUAGCGGCGGCCGGUCCGGUGUUAGCCUUCUCCUGGGCUUGUGUGUUGGCGAUGUCGACGUGUGGGUGGUGGUAUAGUUUUUUCCUUUUUCCUGGUUACGAUUCUCCAGGGUUGUAAUCUUGUAAUUUUUUCCUAC
rnacentral:lncRNA from 1 species